rnacentral:lncRNA from 1 species
AUGAAGCCUUCAGUGAAGAAAUCUGCUAGAGGUUUGGAAGAAGAGCAUGUUGUGCUGAUUCUAAAGAAAGAAAAAUACCAUUUGCAUCGUGUUUUGUCCUUCAGCAAUAGAAAGGAAUUUUCAGCAUACCAGAACAAAUCAAAUUUUAUUCCAUGUAUACAAGAGGAAAGAAAUGACAAGUUAUGGAGUUGGAGACCCUACAGAAAACAAAAUAGAGGUAAGCAGCUCUGUACAGAAACUUGCAAUUUUUCAGUAAGUAAGAAACUGUAAUUUCUGGAGUGGGAAUUGGUAUAGAUUCCAAGAAUGGUCUUAGA